UACGUAGGGUGCAAGCGUUGUCCGGAAUCAUUGGGCGUAAAGCGCGCGUAGGUGGCCAUUUAAGUCCGCUGUGAAAGUCAAAGGCUCAACCUUUGAAAGCCGGUGGAUACUGGAUGGCUAGAGUACGGAAGAGGCGAGUGGAAUUCCUGGUGUAGCGGUGGAAUGCGCAGAUAUCAGGAAGAACACCAAUGGCGAAAGCAGCUCUCUGGGACGGUACUGACGCUGAGACGCGAAAGCGUGGGGAGCGAACAGG
rnacentral:rRNA from 1 species